AUGAGACAAACCGGGUUCAUUGAGCAAGAAGAAGUUAAGCAAAUGGUGAUUGCCAUAAUGAUGGAAUCUGACUUGAAAUUGUCAGAUGAUCUUCUUGAGUCUAUCAUUGAUAAUGUAAGCACUACGUAGUUGUGUAAGUUUGGAUGUUGUUUUACUGGGUGGUAAUCA